CACGUGAGGCCUCCGUGGCGACCUGACCCCGGCAGAGGGUGCUGGCGCUUCCUGCUGGACGGAGGGAGUUUCUGCAAUCAGAAUUAUCUUUUCAGGACAAAGCUUCGACCUGAGACCUUUCCAAGAAGUCUUAAAUUGAGCACAUUUACAAGAUGCAGGCUAAGGAUUUGAAUGCGUUUCACUUUUGCUGGACAGUUCUGCGCAAAUAAGUUUUAGCAAGAUCCCCAGAGAAGAGUUGCUGAUGCUACUUGGGAAUGCAUCUGUCCCCAGAGGCUGGAAGAUCAACGGAAGGAGGGAGAAAUGUUGU
rnacentral:lncRNA from 1 species